UCUGGCCUCCCCACACUAGUUUGAAAAUCAAAUGAGAGCAUAGACGGGAAAGCCCUCCAAAAAGGCAGAAGUGUCGGCCGGCCAGCGUAAGGAACUACUAUUCAUAGCCCCAUUCUCUAACCUGGAUUGUGGUUAAGAGGACCUUAAACAUGGAAACCGGAUUCGAAACAAACUUUGCGAGCCUGGUGGCCCUCUAGUGGCCAAAUUGGACAAGUGCAACCAACGUCUUCAAUUUCUUUUCCGGGAGCCACGCAUAAUUUCACUUCCUCAGAAACAGAAAUCCACAGCAAGCCGAGGUAGACCGGCCCAAAGUUAUUCAGGCUAAAUAGGAUGUUUUACAUCAAAUUCUUACAAUACUUGCCAAACCCCUCUUCAUUCUCUUGGAGGAAUGACCCAAGAGAAUAUGUUUGGAUUCUUUGGCCAGCAUGUCUCAUAAAAUGUUGCAAAAGUUAAAGGCACAUUUCAAAAGAAAAAAAACAAAAUAAAUCUUUAGACCUGUAGGAUAUUUUUAAGGUGGUUUCAUCUUCAUAUCCUUUUAAAAUCUUUAGAAUUACUAUGUUUAAUAGCAGUAACUCCCUUGCAAAAUUUAUGGAAGAAUCACACCAACUGAUCCUUCCUCAAGACUCAGCUCAGACGUCACACGCAUCCCGUAUGUCUCAUGAGUGAAAGUGACCUCUCUGUGCUACUGAGCUUCGAAAACACUAAGCUAACUUUUGGGGGGACUUCUUUCAUCCUGCUUUUUAUCGUAAUUAUUUGUGUACAGCAUUUAUCUGCCCUUCAGAUUCUUAAGCUACGUGAGGGCCAAGUCUUUGUCUUUUGUAUCUUUAUGUUACCACAGUUCUUAACACAGUGCCUGGAGCAUUUUACAGGCUCCUUUGCCUUUUCCUUUGGGUGUGUUAUGUAGAGAGUUAAGUGAGAUAAGUUACACAACUAUAUUUUAACACCAAAGUUAGAUUCGAAACAUACUUCAUAGUUUGCCCAAGUGGUCAAAAACUUUACAUAGUCCGAAAAGGUAACAGGGAAAUUUAAGACCAUUGUGGGAGACGGCAUUGCUUAAAUUUAACCUGCAACAGAGUAAGUUCGAAGGACAGCUGAUGCGAAAUGCAACUUGUCUCAUGGGCGCAACUGAUGUUCAAAAAACAAACAAGGAAUCAAUUAACAUUGAAAAUACUGUGGUAGUUCACACUUUGGCUUUGCAUGAAAUCUGCAAGUUUGUCUGUGUCUCCCGGCAGAAACUGCUGGGAUAAUAUCCAUGGCAGUCAGCAACUCAGUGGCUCAUGAAAAGAGCACAGGAUUUCAACUUCCAGCUGUAUCUGAAUCCUGGAGCCCCGAGGCUUGGCGAGAGAUGUGAUGUCUCCAAAGGGGUUGUCAACAUCAUCGGCAUUUGUAGACUGCACACAACCCCUGUUUGCGUGACAAGAAAAGAAAACGUGUGUUUCUUCAUAAGAAAAACA